AUGGCCCGGUCCUCCUCCCUCCUCCGCGCCGGCGUGCUCGCCAUGGCGCUCCUCGCCUCCUUCCUCGGCGUCGAGGCCCUCUUCGACCCGUUCAACAUCUUCGGCGGGCGCCCGGAGAACGAUUACCUGGACCCGUUCGGCGGCGGGGCGACCAAGAGCCCGCCCCCGCCCCGCACGGAGCGGGAGGAGACGGGCGCGGCGCAGCCCAACACCAUGGGGCUCACGCGCGUGCCGCCCUUGGGCGAGCCCAGCAAGGCGUCCCAUGAUACCAUGACUGUCAAAGUUACCGUGCGCGACGACAAGCCCGACGGCGCGUGGACCAUCGUCAGCGACAACUCCGGCGUCUCCGCCAUGCACCUCGCCAUCAUGCGCCACGGCCGCGCCAUCAUGUUCGACACCGCCACCACGGGCCGCUCCCUCAUGCGCCUCAGGUUCGACAACUGCCGCGUAGACCCGCGCCUCCACAAGACCGACUGCUGGGCGCACGCCGUCGAGUUCGACUACGCCACCGGCGCCGUCCGGCCCCUCAAGAUCCUCACCGACACCUGGUGCUCCGCCGGGGGGUUCGACGCGGAGGGCAACCUCGUGCAGUCCGGGGGCUACUUCGAGGGCGACAGGACUGUCCGCUACCUCUCGCCCUGCCACACCUGUGACUGGAAGGAGCACCCAUAUAGCCUGUUCGAAGGGCGGUGGUACGCCACCCAGCAGGUGCUCCCCGAUGGCCGCUUCGCCAUCUUCGGCGGCCGCCGCGCAUUCUCCUUCGAGCACCUGCCCAAGCCCGGGAUGUUCAACCACCAGUCCGUGCCGCUCGCGUUGCUCCGGGACACCACCGACGACGUCGAGAACAACCUCUACCCUUUCGUCAACCUCCUCCCCGACGGCAACCUCUUCAUCUUCGCCAACGACCGCGGCAUCAUCUUCGACCACCGCUCCGAGAUCGUCAUCCGCGACGUCCCGCCGCUCCCCGGCGGAGCCCGCAACUACCCGGCGUCCGCCAUGUCGGCCAUGCUCCCGCUCGACCUCCGCGGGAGGCAGCUCCACGGCGGCCCCGAACUCGAGCCGGAGGUCAUCAUCUGCGGCGGCGCCAACAAGACCGCGUUCAAGGUCGGCGAGAUCGGCCAGUACGGACCGGCGCUCAAGGACUGCGGCCGCAUCAACCUGGCCAAACAGGACGCGCAGUGGGUCACCGAGGAAAUGCCCGUGCAACGCGUCAUGGGCGACAUGCUCAUCCUCCCCAACGGCGAGCUGCUCCUGCUCAACGGCGCCGCCAAGGGGUGCGGGGGCUGGGGCUUCGCGCGCCAGCCGGUGCGCUCGCCGAUCCUCUACACGCCGUCGGCGCCGCAGGGGUCCCGCUUCCGCCCGCUCACGCCGUCCACCAUCUCGCGCGUCUACCACUCCACCGCCGCCGUGCUCCCCGACGCCACCGUGCUCGUGGCCGGCGGCAACACCAACGCGGGCUACAACUUCAGCGGCGUCGACUUCCCCACCGAGGUGCGCGUCGAGCGCUUCACGCCGCCCUACCUCGACGGCAGGAGACACGUCGCCAACCGCCCCAUCAUCGACCCCCACUCGCUGCCCAGGGAGGGGAUGCGCUACGGCGCCAAGUACACCUUCAGGUUCCGCACGCCGCUCGACCCCGUUGUCGAGGCCGACGUCAUGGUCACCAUGUACGCGCCGCCCUUCACCACGCACGGCUACUCCAUGAACCAGCGCCUCCUCAUCCUCUCCCUCGCCUCCUUCAUCCCCGACCCACAGGGCUACGCCAUCACCGUCGACGCGCCCGGCAAGCCUGAGCUCGCGCCGCCCGCCUACUACCUCGUCUACGUCAUCGCCAAGAACGUGCCCAGCAUCGCCGUAUGGGUCAAGAUACAGUGA
rnacentral:rRNA from 1 species